rnacentral:lncRNA from 1 species
CAGGAAAUUUUCAUUUCCCCCUAAUCCCGCUACACGAUGGCGAUUCUCCUAUAACCCCGCGAACUAGAUCUCGCUUCUCUCUCCAAAGAAGUGCUCGCUCCCAAGAUUUAGGAUCCUAACUGUCGUUUCCAAAUUAGUUUACUUGAGCUACCUAUUUCGUCGGACUUUCCAGACAGCCAUCUCCAAAAAAAAAUCACCACGCAGUUCUUUCGAUUCUACUUGGCGACGACAUCCAUGUGUUGAACCAUGUUCAUCUUCAACAACGGUGAUUCAAGGGAGAGCCGGUGUCAUAUUGCCUGAUGCAAGCAUCUUGUAGACCACAAUCACAGUUGGACCAAAUGUUAUAUGGGUAAGGGCACCUUUGGAUGCACAGGUUAUGUACGAAUGCACUGGACGCAAGGCACAUGGGAAGUUUGCAAUGGCGGAUGGUGCAAUUGAUAGCUCAGAAGUGCAAUUAUCCACAAAUGCUCAUCCUUCUCACACUUACACAGUUAGACCUAGCCAAAUAGAGGUUGAACUGCGUCAAGAGCUUGCUAAUUUCAAGCAUCAGCGACAAGAGGAUUGCCAAUCAAUACAAAAUGCUCUAUCUGAGUUCAAUAAUCAGACAAAGGAGUAUAUGAUUAAUGGAUCUGCAAGUACACCUCCACCUCAGAUCAAUUUGGCUGCAUUAUUUCCUAGCCAUUCAUCUCCAACUACUCAGCAGAAUACUACAGAUAAUAGCUCCAGAAAUGUGUUCAACCAAAUAGAUGGAAAUAAUAGUGGAAACUGCAGCCAACAAGAUGCUGGUUUGAGCAACAAUGAACAGGGUGACAUGGGAAACAACUCUGAAAAUGUGGUGUUACAACGCAUGGAUGGAAGCACAUUUGGUUAUUCUAGCCAACAAACUGCUCCUGCUACUAAUCAAGGCAACAGUAAGCGAGGGAGAGAUGGAGACUAUGUUGAUAGUGAAGAUGAUUAUGCUGAUGAUGGAAACUAUGAUGAUGCUGAUGAAACUCCUGAACCGUUCGUUGCUGCAGUUAUAGUUGAUUAUCCUUGUACAAAGUAGUGCUCACUGU